UACGUAGGGUGCGAGCGUUGUCCGGAAUUAUUGGGCGUAAAGAGCUCGUAGGCGGUUCGGCAAGUCGGAUGUGAAAUCUCCACGCUCAACGUGGAGGGGCCAUUCGAAACUGCCGUGACUCGAGUCCGGUAGGGGAGUGUGGAAUUCCUGGUGUAGCGGUGAAAUGCGCAGAUAUCAGGAAGAACACCCGUGGCGAAGGCGGCUCUCUGGGACGGUACUGACGCUGAGACGCGAAAGCGUGGGGAGCGAACAGG
rnacentral:rRNA from 1 species